rnacentral:lncRNA from 1 species
AGGAUACUUAACCCUUUCCCUUUCACACCGGUACAGCUUACCGGUGAAACCAAUUUCAAGAUUUUUUUUGGGACAUUUAGACAUGUUUAAUCGCCAUUUGCUGACGUACAGAUGUGGUUAAGGGCUCAAAUUAAUCCUCAGAUAACCAGCAAUGCGAUUUAAUGUGCAUCAAACCUCUAUCAUUAUUAGCUAAUAAACAAGUCGCCCC